UACCAGCACCCCGAGUGGUCGGGACGAUCAUUGGGCCUAAAGCGUCCGUAGCCGGUUUUACAAGUCCUCCGUUAAAUCCAACUGCUUAACAGAUGGGCCGCGGAGGAUACUAUAAGACUAGGAGGCAGGAGAGGCAAGCGGUACUCAGUGGGUAGGGGUAAAAUCCGUUGAUCCAUUGAAGACCACCAGUGGCGAAGGCGGCUUGCCAGAAUGCGCUCGACGGUGAGGGAUGAAAGCUGGGGGAGCAAACCGG
rnacentral:rRNA from 1 species